rnacentral:rRNA from 1 species
GAUUCCUACGGAGGAGCAGUGGGGGAUAUUGGACAAUGGGGGGAACCCUGAUCCAGCGACGCCGCGUGAGUGAAGAAGUAUUUCGGUAUGUAAGGCUCUGUCAGCAGGGAAGAAAGCAAUGACGGUACCUGACCAAGAAGCCCCGGCUAACUACGUGCCAGCAGCCGCGGUAAUACGUAGGGGGCAAGCGUUAUCCGGAAUUACUGGGUGUAAAGGGAGCGUAGACGUCUGUGCAAGUCUGGAGUGCAAGGCGG